AACGAACGCUGGCGGCAGGCUUAACACACGCAAGUCGAACGGAUCCUUCGGGAUUAGUGGCGGACGGGUGAGUAACGCGUGGGAACAUACCCAAAGGUACGGAAUAGCCUCGGGAAACUGGGAGUAAUACCGUAUGUGCUCGAAAGAGGAAGGAUUUAUCGCCUUUGGAUUGGCCCGCGUUGGAUUAGGUAGUUGGUGGGGUAAUGGCCUACCAAGCCGACGAUCCAUAGCUGGUUUGAGAGGAUGAUCAGCCACACUGGGACUGAGACACGGCCCAGACUCCUACGGGAGGCAGCAGUGGGGAAUCUUAGACAAUGGGUGAAACCCUGAUCUAGCCAUGCCGCGUGAUCGAUGAAGGCCUUAGGGUUGUAAAGAUCUUUCAGGUGGGAAGAUAAUGACUGUACCACCAGAAGAAGCCCCGGCUAACUCCGUGCCAGCCGCCGCCGUAA
rnacentral:rRNA from 1 species